UACGUAGGGCGCAAGCGUUGUCCGGAAUUAUUGGGCGUAAAGAGCGUGUAGGCGGCCCGGUAAGUCCGCUGUGAAAGUCGGGGGCUCAACCCUCGAAUGCCGGUGGAUACUGUCGGGCUAGAGUGCGGAAGAGGCGAGUGGAAUUCCUGGUGUAGCGGUGAAAUGCGCAGAUAUCAGGAGGAACACCGAUUGCGAAGGCAGCUCGCUGGGACGUAACUGACGCUGAGACGCGAAAGCGUGGGGAGCAAACAGG
rnacentral:rRNA from 1 species